rnacentral:lncRNA from 10 species
GUUAAACAAGUGCUUGAAGGCAGUAUGCUUGGUAAAAGUCAUCGCCAUUCUCUAAUCUUGAGUACCCAGGGACACGAUACACUGCGGAAGGCUGCAGGGACCUCUGCCCAGGAAAGCCAGGCUUGCAUGAAGGAAAUGAUUUCCUAUGAUUCUGCUUACUGCUUAAAAAAAUUAAUCAAGUUUUCUGCCUGACAAGAUCCAGUAUCUGCCGGAGGAGCCCCACCUUCUGCUACUAUUAUGUUCUUCAGAUGAGUAGAAGAGAGUGGGGAGGGAGAGAGCAGGAAGAAGAAAGGAAGAAUAAUGUCUUGAAAUUGUUUUCUAAGGAUAAUGGUCUCCAGCUUCGUCAAUGUUCCUGCAAAGGACAUGAUGCUGACUUUGAAGAUGCAAGCUUCCACAUCUACAGCCUCAAGGAAACAAAUUCAGCCAACCAACUGAGGGAGCUUUCCUUGUCCUGCCUCAAGAUGAGAUCACAGUCUGCCCAACACCAUGAUUUAGGCCUUGUGACACCUGGUAUGGAAGACCCAGUUAAGUUCUCUCCAAACUCUUGACCCACAGAACCUGUGAGAAAAUAUAUGGAUAUUAUUUUAAACUGCUAAAUUUGUAGUAAUUUGUUAUGCAGCAAUAAAAAAAACUAAUGCAAGGAGAUAUCAAUUAUUGUAAAAAGCUUAGCUUUUGUUUUAAAAUAUAGUUCACCAGUAGUAAGUUACUAAUAAGUAACUAAACAAAUAAAAGCAAGCCAUUUACAAAUCAAUAAUAAGAGUAAGUCAUGAACUAAAGAUUGUAAUUAAUCAAUUUCUGUACGCCUGUAAUGAAAAUAAAGGAGGAAAAGAAAA